CACUUUUUUGGAAAUUUUAGACGGAUCAUGCUAAAACCGAGCCCACAAAACGAGAACGAUUGCAAGUUCUAAUUCCCUGAAGAAGGUGUAAUAAACACCGAAACGUCGGAUGAAGAACGAUA